AGGAUAGAGCAAGCAGGCAGCCAUCUCCAAGCCAGGAAGAGUCUUCACCAGAACUCAACCAUACUGGUACCCUGAUCUUGGACUUGCAGCCUCUACAACUAUCACUUGCUCUGGGAGAAGCCAGCAGCCCUGUGAAGAGGGCCAGGUGGUGAAAAACUGAGGUUGCUGGCCAAAGACCAAGGCUUCUUUCCAACGGCCAUUUGCCUGGGCCCUCUCGGACACAGAUCCUUUAAUCCCAGUGCAGUUUCAGAUGACUGCAGCUCCGGCCAGCAUCUUGACAGUAACCUCCUGAGACAGCCUGAGCCAGAACCACCUGGCUAAGCCACUCCCAGAUUCCUGACCCUCAGAAACGGAUUCCUUCAGUGCCUAACAGACAGAGGUUUCCUGGUGGUUUUCUCUGAAAUCCUGGGCUGGAAGUUUGAGGGGGCUCUCUCCUUCCCUACCCUGAUGCGUCCACCGCUCUUCUUUCUCAGACUUUCGCUAAAGGUCCUGGAACUUCUGCUUUUGGUAAAAGAGGAACACGUUCUAAAGUCGACUGUGAUGAUGGACGCACAUGCCUGUGAAUAUACUCCACCAGUGAAUUGUACACUAUAAGUGGAUGAAUGACCCUGUAAAUAUGCUACAAGGCAAAAAAAAAGAAAAAAAAAAAAAAAGGAGACUUUGUAGAUCUUGUUAAGGAUCUUGAGAUGGAUGAGUGUCCUGAAUUGUCCAGGUGGGCCGAAUGUAAUCCCAGUGGUCCUUAGAAGAGGGCGGCGGGAGGGUGAGAAUCAGAGAAGAACUAUGAGGACAGAAGCAGAGGUCGGAGUGAUGCCAUUGCUGGCGCUGGAGAUGGAGGAAGGGGACUCAAGUCACGGAACGCAAACAGCUUCUAGAAGACGGAAAAGGCAAGGAAACAAAUUCUCCCCAAGAGCCUCCAGAAGGAGCCCAGUCCAGCGAACACCUUGAUUCGGGCCAGUGAGACCCAUUUCAGACUUCCGACCUCCACAACUGUAAGAUAAUAAAUUUUUGUUGUUUGAAGCCACUAAGUUUGUGGUGGUUUUUUAUAUAGCAGAAAUAGAAAAUGGAAACAUGAAUACAUACAUUAAAAAAAUAAAGUCAGUCACUUGUAAUCCACCUCUCAGAAUGAACUCAUGGUUUUUAAUAUCUAUAACUUGGCGGUCAAGUGAUGACCGGAACUGGUGUGGGGAGGCACACGUACAG
rnacentral:lncRNA from 1 species